rnacentral:rRNA from 1 species
AUUGAACGCUGGCGGCAGGCUUAACACAUGCAAGUCGAGCGGUAACAGAGAGAAGCUUGCUUCUCUGCUGACGAGCGGCGGACGGGUGAGUAAUGCCUAGGAAUCUGCCUAGUAGUGGGGGAUAACUUGCCGAAAGGUAAGCUAAUACCGCAUACGUCCUACGGGAGAAAGGAGGGGACCUUCGGGCCUUUCGCUAUUAGAUGAGCCUAGGUCGGAUUAGUGAGUUGGUGAGGUAAUGGCUCACCAAGAACGCGAUCCGUAACUGGUCUGAGAGGAUAGUCAGUCACACUGGAACUGAGACACGGUCCAGACUCCUACGGGAGGCAGCAGUGGGGAAUAUUGGACAAUGGGGGGAACCCUGAUCCAGCCAUGCCGCGUGUGUGAAGAAGGUCUUAGGAUUGUAAAGCACUUUAAGUUGGGAGGAAGAGCAGUUAACUAAUAUUUGACUGUUUUGACGUUACCGACAGAAUAAGCACCGGCUAACUUCGUGCCAGCCGCCGCUGUAA